rnacentral:tRNA from 1 species
GUGGCCGUAGCUCAAUGGUGGAGCGCCGGGUUGUGGUCCCGGCGGCUAUGGGUUCGAGUCCCAUCGGCCACC